GACGAACGCUGGCGGCGUGCCUAAUACAUGCAAGUAGAACGCACAGUUUAUACCGUAGCUUGCUACACCAUAGACUGUGAGUUGCGAACGGGUGAGUAACGCGUAGGUAACCUGCCUGGUAGCGGGGGAUAACUAUUGGAAACGAUAGCUAAUACCGCAUAAUAUUGAUUAUUGCAUGAUAAUUGAUUGAAAGAUGCUAUUGCAUCACUACCAGAUGGACCUGCGUUGUAUUAGCUAGUAGGUGAGGUAACGGCUCACCUAGGCGACGAUACAUAGCCGACCGGAGAGGGUGAUCGGCCACACUGGGACUGAGACACGGCCCAGACUCCUACGGGAGGCAGCAGUAGGGAAUCUUCGGCAAUGGACGAAAGUCUGACCGAGCAACGCCGCGUGAGUGAAGAAGGUUUUCGGAUCGUAAAGCUCUGUUGUAAGAGAAGAACGGGUGUGAGAGUGGAAAGAUCACACUGUGACGGUAUCUGACCAGAAAGGGACGGCUAACUACGUG
rnacentral:rRNA from 1 species